GAGUUUGAUCAUGGCUCAGAUUGAACGCUGGCGGCAUGCCUUACACAUGCAAGUCGAACGGUAACAGGUCUUCGGAUGCUGACGAGUGGCGAACGGGUGAGUAAUACAUCGGAACGUGCCCGAUCGUGGGGGAUAACGGAGCGAAAGCUUUGCUAAUACCGCAUACGAUCUACGGAUGAAAGCAGGGGACCGCAAGGCCUUGCGCGGACGGAGCGGCCGAUGGCAGAUUAGGUAGUUGGUGGGAUAAAAGCUUACCAAGCCGACGAUCUGUAGCUGGUCUGAGAGGACGACCAGCCACACUGGGACUGAGACACGGCCCAGACUCCUACGGGAGGCAGCAGUGGGGAAUUUUGGACAAUGGGCGAAAGCCUGAUCCAGCCAUGCCGCGUGCAGGAUGAAGGCC
rnacentral:rRNA from 1 species